rnacentral:rRNA from 1 species
UACGUAGGGGGCAAGCGUUGUCCGGAAUCAUUGGGCGUAAAGAGCGUGUAGGCGGCUCGAUAAGUCUGCUGUGAAAGUCCAGGGCUCAACCCUGGAAGGCCGGUGGAAACUGUCGGGCUAGAGUCCGGAAGAGGCGAGUGGAAUUCUCGGUGUAGCGGUGAAAUGCGCAGAUAUCGGGAGGAACACCAAUGGCGAAGGCAGCUCGCUGGGACGGUACUGACGCUGAGACGCGAAAGCGUGGGGAGCAAACAGG